UACGUAGGGACCAAGCGUUGUUCGGAUUUACUGGGCGUAAAGGGCGCGUAGGCGGCAAUUCAAGUCAGCUGUGAAAUCUCCGGGCUUAACUCGGAACGGUCAGCUGAUACUGCUUUGCUAGAGUGCAGAAGGGGCAAUCGGAAUUCUUGGUGUAGCGGUGAAAUGCGUAGAUAUCAAGAGGAACACCUGAGGUGAAGACGGGUUGCUGGGCUGACACUGACGCUGAGGAGCGAAAGCGUGGGGAGCGAACAGG
rnacentral:rRNA from 1 species